GAGUGGCACACUGCUCAGUAACACGUAGCUAACCUACCCUUAGGACGUGGAUACCCCCGAGAAAUUGGGGUUAAUCCGCGAUAGAUGUAAUGUCCUGGAAUGGUAUUACGUCUAAAGGUAUUUCAUACAUGUUUGAAAUAUGCCUAAGGAUGGGGCUGCGGCCGAUCAGGCUGUUGGUGAGGUAAUGGCUCACCAAACCUUUGACCGGUACGGGCCAUGAGAGUGGUAGCCCGGAGAUGGACACUGAGACAAGGGUCCAGGCCCUAAGGGGCGCAGCAACCGCGAAACCUCCACAAUGCACUCACGUGCGAUGGGGCUAUCUCGAGUGCCACCUGAUGAAGGUGGCUUUUCCUUGGUCUUCAAAGCCUUGGGAAUAAGAGGGGGGCAAGACUGGUGUCAGCCGCCGCGGUAACACCAGCCCCUCGAGUGGUGGGGAUGAUUAUUUGGCCUAAAGCGUCCGUAGCCGGCCGUGAAAGUCUUCCGUUAAAUCCAGCGUCUCAAGCGUUGGACCGCGGGAGAUACUACAUGGCUAGAGAGUGGGAGAGGUCAGCGGUAUUCUGGGGGUAGGGGCGAAAUCCUUUGAUCCCCGGAGGACCACCAGUGGCGAAGGCUGCUGACUAGAACACGUCUGACGGUCAGGGACGAAAGCUGGGGUAGCGAACCGGAUUAGAUACCCGGGUAGUCCCAGCCGUAAACGAUGCAUGCUAGGUGUUGGGUUGGCCACGAGCCACCCCAGUGCCGCAGGGAAGCCGUUAAGCAUGCCGCCUGGGAAGUACGAUCGCAAGAUUGAAACUUAAAGGAAUUGGCGGGGGAGCACCACCAGGCGUGAAGCCUGCGGUUUAAUUGGAUUCAACGCCGGG
rnacentral:rRNA from 1 species